CGGAACUGUAGGAACAAGUCCUACAAAAAGGGCGAGAAUCUCCCCCAGUUCGAUCUCCGAUGCAACCCACUGUCUGCGUCAGACUGGUGGGCCACCAUGGGGACGAUAUUGACCGAUGCCAUGCAAUGGCCGAGCUCCAGGCAACUUGCCAUGGCCGAUUAUCACUCAGAUCAACUCCCUGAGGUUUUAUGAUUCCCUAGGGAAGCAAGCUUCCCCCAACCUCUGGAAAUACCCAAUCAGCCCGAGCAAGGCCAACCCUCGGUUGGGCACCGUAACGGCUUCUAUCCCUCCACCAUUCAUCCCUUCGGCACGGUACAACGCCUUGGGAUUGGGACCCCUGUUAGAGGACUCUUACCUCACGUGGGACAAACAGCGGCUCAAUUCUUCAA
rnacentral:lncRNA from 1 species